ACUGGGGAUAAAACUUCAACGCAACCUAAAUAGUCUAAACAGCAGGAGACGCAACACUGUAAAUUCACCAGCGACCGCUACAAUGCUCCUCAGCGUAAACGAAUCAUGAAGUUCUGUUUCCUGUACUGAAAUGGAAGCGUCACUGGCUCGCCUCCCAGUUGAAGCAAGGUGGGAUUGCGAUGAGAAGGAGGAUACUAUUUGAGACGGCUCUGAUCCGAAACGGAAGACUUGAAAUGGAAUACAGAAACACCUGCCACUCCACGUAAGCAGAGAGAAAUAAUAGAGAUCCCAAAGAGAGCCAUGCUGUCCCUGAAUCUGAAGCACAGGAGGGGCCAAGGAUAGAAGCAGCUUACACACAAGAGGAGUCCUUUGAUCAGGAGUGGUGUGCAAGUCUAAAGCAGGUUACAGAGCUGACAUGUGUUAAAGAUGAAGAGGUCCCUCGACUGGAAUGUGUUCCUAUUAAAGAGGAAUUCAUAGAACAGGAAUGUGUCUCCAUCGCAGAGGAAGUUCCUACUGAAAAUAAUGUCUGUACACUUGAGGAGAACAACACGCUGGUGUCAAGUCUGUAUGAUGAUUUUCCACCUGAAUAUGAACUGGGAUUUAGAGGUAAUCGUACAAAACAAGAAACCUAUCGCUUCCAGCAGGUUCAGAAUACAGCUGCACGAAUUCUGACAGGAAUGCACGCUCCACCGGACCACACUCCAGCGAGACAGCACACUGCUGCUAAAGGAAAACUUACAGGAGGGACUCCAUUUCCCUGUGCUGAUUGUGGGAAGAGAUUCAGUCGUUUAUCAGCUCUUAAAAGACACCAGCGCGUUCACACAGGAGAGAAACCUUAUCACUGCACUGUGUGUGGGAGGAGCUUCACGCGAUUAGAAAGUCUUCAAUCACACCAGCGCAUUCACACAGGAGAGAAGCCUUAUCACUGCUCUGAGUGUUGGAAGAGAUUCCGUUGUUUAUCGGACCUUAAAAUCCACCAGCGCAUUCACACAGGAGAGAAACCUUAUCACUGUGCUGAGUGUGGCAAGAGUUUCACAUAUUUGAAGUCCUUGAAAAUCCACCAGCGGGCUCACCAAGAUAAAUAUUAUCAAUGUAGUGAAUGUCUGAAGAGUUUCAGUCACUUAUCAAGCCUUAAAAGACACCAUAAAAUUCACACAAGAGUGAAGCCCUAUCCCUUUUCUGUCCCGUAUUCCUAAGCCUGGAUGAAUAAAUAUGAGACAGCCGAGCACGGGCUGGCUCUCAAGGUCAGAUGUUGUAAAAGGAAUAAUUCUGAUUAAGAGUGAAGCUGUUCUUUGUUCCAGUGAGUUAUACAGUCAGUCAGAAAAAAGAAGCGUGCUAUCAACACCUAGCAAGCAAAGUCACAGAAUGGGAAGAGCAGGCGUAACAUCUUAACUGCAACGCUGCCUCCAACAUUAAGCAAGAAAAGUCACGAAAGAGGAGAGCAACGGACAACAGCCUAGCAUAUUAGCUCAUCGCCAUAUAACUUAAAUACAAAAAAGAACGUAAAGAGAACUGUACCAACUGGAUCACCAUCGAAGAGAGGAAAGGCCAUCAAACCUUGAACCAAUCGAUUAAUGAACUGAUUUGGUCUGCUGGCACUGGUCAAAUUUACAGCAAGAGAUUCCCAUCAGUCACUGAGCGAGACUUGGUGUUUCUGACCAGGAAUGCAGACAAUGUAAUAAUGUAUAAGCAAGGAGAGAGUUAUAAAGUAUAACAGGGUGUGGCCAUAAGUCGCUGUACUGAAUAGACCAGGGGCAAGUGUAAUAGCUGGUGGAGUCAAUUUAAUUUAACAUUUGAAAUUGGUGCUACAAUACAUAUGGAAUUAAUAAAAACAAAUACAAUGGGAGUUCCAUUUAGGUGCCGUGGAUUCUAAUUAAGGGAUAUAAUAUAAUUAACACUAGCACUGCCAUAGCUGCUUUUUGAACAGCUUUUGCAAUUCAGAUUUAAAUAUUUAAUUACGAUAAGUUUUUAAUUCAACUCCCCAGUAAUGUUGUUGAAGCUGACACCCUGUGAUCCUUCAAGAAGCUGCUUGAUGAGAUUCUGGGAUCAAUAAGGCUUCCUAGGUGGGUGGUUAUAGCUGAAGACGUAUUAUUCUCCCUCUCUUUCUCUGAUCACAGGGCGUCACACAGCAGGGCAGACUGGGUGGAUGGCUGUUUGAGGUCUACUCUGUUUUUUUCAACCCAUCCUUUUCUCUCUCUGGUCUGUCUCCCUGUCUUUACUGUUUCACUGCUGGUAAUCUACAGUAAUAAACAAAAUAAUAAUGUAAUAUUAUCUACUGUAUUAAUAAAAAAUAAAAAAAAUCGGUGUUUGUUUUAAAUAGAUUUUUUUGGGUAUUAUAGCCAGGUGGCAGUGGAAGAAGCAUCAAGAUUCAAGACAGCCUUUGUUUUGCACUGAACUGUUGCAGUUCCGUGUUCUUCCAUUCAGACUGUGCAAUGCGCCAGCCUCAAUCCAGCAGCUCAUGAACACUGUUCUAGCUGGACUCCUCUACAGAUGUUGGGUGGUGUACCUAAUGACAUUGUGAUUGACUCUCCCACCUUCGAAUAGCACCUUAAGGACUUCCAAGAAGUAUUGAGCAAACUACAAUCUGCAGGUGUCUGUGAGCUUCUUUUGCUAGGUUCCUUCAUUAUUAUAUUAAGAAUGAGCAGGUGAUACACUUAUAGGAGGCUGUGUGGUCCAGUGGUUAAAGAAAAGGGCUUGUGACUAGAAGGUCCCCGGUUCAAAUCUCACCUCAGCCCCUGACUCAUUGUGUGUCCCUGAGCAAGUCACUUAACCUCCUUGUGCUCCGUCUUUCGGGUGAGACGUAGUUGUAAGUGACUCUGCGGCUGAUGCAUAGUUCACACACCCUAGUCUCUGCAAGUCACCUUGGAUAAAUGCUUCAUGUGGCUGCUGCUGCCACAACCUACUUCAUUCAAUUUUUAGAUUUUGCUGUUCGGACUUUACAAAAGAAAAUGCUAUUUAAAAUCACAAACACCUUGAAAUAAAUUAAAACAUCUUAUGAUUGUAAAAACUACUUAGUUUGUGUGGUAGAAAUUCUAUGAGAAACCAGUCUUGUAAAUCCAUAUCGUCUCCCAACUAAAAUAUUAAGGUCAUUAUAGAGACAGUAUUUAGAAUAUGUAGUUAAAAUGUGGUAUGGCAUAAUUGCAAAUAUUUUUAAAAAAUGGCU